rnacentral:lncRNA from 1 species
CCGGUGGGGUUACUGAUUUCAAAAUCUGUAAUAUAAGACUAAAAGUAUUCCCGCAUUAUACUGGUGGGCGACCUAGAACAGAAAGUAUUCCCGCAUUUUACUGGUGGGCGACCUAGAACAGAAAGUAUUCCCGCAUUUUACUGGUGGGCGACCUAGAACAGAAAGUAUUCCCGCAUUUUACUGGUGGGCGACCUAGAACAGAAAGUAUUCCCGCAUUUUACUGGUGGGCGACCUAGAACAAAAAGUAUUCCCGCAUUUUACUGGUGGGCGACCUAGAACAGAAUGUAUUCCCGCAUUUUACUGGUGGGCGACCUAGAACAUGAAUGUAUUCCCGCAUUUUACUGGUGGGCGACCUAGAACAGAAUGUAUUCCCGCAUUUUACUGGUGGGCGACCUAGAACAGAAAGUAUUCCCGCAUUUUACUGGUGGGCGACCUAGAACAGAAAGUAUUCCCGCAUCUUACUGGUGGGCGACCUAGAACAGAA